ACGGGUGAGUAACACGUAGCUUACUACCCUCAGGAGUGGGCAACGGGUGGGACAGUCGCUAAUACCGCAUAAGCUCACGAUGAAUAGACAGUUGUGAGAAAAGACUCCGGUGCCUGAGGAUGAGGCUGCGUUCCAUCAGCUAGUUGGUGAGGUAAAGGCUCACCAAGGCGACGACGGAUAGGGGACCUGAGAGGGUGACCCCCCAGACUGGAACUGAGACACGGUCCAGACUUCUACGGAAGGCAGCAGUGAGGAAUAUUGCACAAUGAGCGCAAGCUUGAUGCAGCGACGCCGCGUGGGUGAUGAAGGUUUCCGGAUCGUAAAGCCCUUUUCUGCGUGACGAGGAAGGACGGUAGCGCAGGAAUAAGUCUCGGCUAACUACGUGCCAGCAGCCGGGGUAAAACGUAGGAGGCAAGCGUUAUCCGGAGUUACUGGGCGUAAAGCGCGUGCAGGCGGAUGGUUAAGUCAGAUAUGAAAGCUCGCGGCUAAACUGGGAGAGGCUGUCUGA
rnacentral:rRNA from 1 species